rnacentral:rRNA from 1 species
AGCGAACGCUGGCGGCAGGCCCAACACAUGCAAGUCGAACGGAUCCUUCGGGAUUAGUGGCGGACGGGUGAGUAACACGUGGGAACGUGCCCGUUGGUUCGGAACAACUCAGGGAAACUUGAGCUAAUACCGGAUGUGCCCUUCGGGGGAAAGAUUUAUCGCCAUUGGAGCGGCCCGCGUCUGAUUAGCUAGUUGGUGAGGUAAAGGCUCACCAAGGCGACGAUCAGUAGCUGGUCUGGGAGGAUGAUCAGCCACAUUGGGACUGAGACACGGCCCAAACUCCUACGGGAGGCAGCAGUGGGGAAUCUUGCGCAAUGGGCGAAAGCCUGACGCAGCCAUGCCGCGUGAAUGAUGAAGGUCUUAGGAUCGUAAAAUUCUUUCACCGGGGACGAUAAUGACGGUACCCGGAGAAGAAGCCCCGGCUAACUUCGUGCCAGCCGCCGCAGUAACAC